GUUCUAGAAUGGAGGGCCGAUUUAGAUUGGAUACUUGUGAGGAAUUAUUGACCUCAGCCUCAACUUGGCCUCGACUUCCAAGGUUGAGGAAGACAAAAUGGUCAUAAGAUCCCAAUUGCCUUGGUCUUGACCUUCCAAGGCGAGGUAGGUGAAAUGGUCGCGACAGCCCAUUUGGCCAUGGCCUCGGCCUUUAAGGCCAAGAUGGGCAAAAUAGGCAUGGUCCAAAUUUUCUUUUCUCCCUCAAACUCUCGCCCGCUUCCUACUAGUUUUCAGUCGGUUUUUGGGAUAAGUUUCAGAAGAAAUGUUCUUUAAGGGAAUUGCAGAGAUUGGAUUCGAGAUUCCAAUUUUAGGGCUUGAUCUUUUCAGACCUCUUGAGAAACCUGCGACUCUUCCAUCUUUUCCCUCAACUGAUUUAACAUCUCCUGCAUUGUGACCAUUGAUCCCUUUCAGCUUUAACUUGCUCUGGGUUUCUUCGAAUUAUCGCCUUGCAAUGCCCUAAACAUCGAUUCUGUUCAUGUGACGUUGAGUCCUAAAGAUUAAAUAACGCAUAAUCCCUGUGUUACAGAGAUUUGUAUUCUAUUCAAAUUUGGUUUAUCUUGAUCACUUGUAAUGAGAAAUUUUACCAGAUUCUAUAGGUGUUUCGGCAUGGAACAAUUCAAAUGUUCAGUUCCUUAAAACCUGAAA